AGGCAGUUCCAAGUUAUUCUGCUAGACGAGCAAUCUUUGAACAAUAUGUUAGGACACGUGCUGAGGAAGAAAGGAAGGAGAAGAAAGCAGCUCAGAAGGCUGCAAUUAUUGGUUUCAAACAACUAUUGGAAGAAGCCUUGGAGGAUAUGAUUCACAGAUUAGACUUUCAAACAUUUAAAAGAAAAUAGGGAGAUGAUCCACGGUUUGAGGUCAUAGAACGUAAAGAAAGAGAGUUUCUUUUCAAUGAAAAGGUGUUGCUAAGGAAGAAGGCGGCUGAAGAAAAGAUUCAUGCAGAAAGAGCAGCAGCUAUGGGUAGCUUCAAGUCAAUGUUGAAGGAGAGGCAAGACAUAUCUGCAAUUAGUCGAUGGUCAAAGGUAGCUUUUUAUCAUAAUGUUUGUUUGUUUUUAUUGUUUUUUUCCAUUUGGUUGCCUUUCAACUAUUGUGAUGCAAGUGACUUGGAAUUAUUUGUUGGUCUGAAGUAGUUAUGUAUGUAUUUAUUUAUA